AUAACAGUUAGAAAUGACUGCUAAUACCGCAUAAGACCACAGUACCGCAUGGUACAGGGGUAAAAACUCCGGUGGUAUGAGAUGGACCCGCGUCUGAUUAGGUAGUUGGUGGGGUAACGGCCUACCAAGCCGACGAUCAGUAGCCGACCUGAGAGGGUGACCGGCCACAUUGGGACUGAGACACGGCCCAAACUCCUACGGGAGGCAGCAGUGGGGAAUAUUGCACAAUGGGGGAAACCCUGAUGCAGCGACGCCGCGUGAGCGAUGAAGUAUUUCGGUAUGUAAAGCUCUAUCAGCAGGGAAGAAAAUGACGGUACCUGACUAAGAAGCACCGGCUAAAUACGUGCCAGCAGCCGCGGUAAUACGUAUGGUGCAAGCGUUAUCCGGAUUUACUGGGUGUAAAGGGAGCGUAGACGGAGUGGCAAGUCUGAUGUGAAAACCCGGGGCUCAACCCCGGGACUGCAUUGGAAACUGUCAAUCUGGAGUACCGGAGAGGUAAGCGGAAUUCCUAGUGUAGCGGUGAAAUGCGUAGAUAUUAGGAGGAACACCAGUGGCGAAGGCGGCUUACUGGACGGUAACUGACGUUGAGGCUCGAAAGCGUGGGGAGCAAACAGGAUUAGAUACCCUGGUAGUCCACGCCGUAAACGAUGACUACUAGGUGUCGGGCAGCAAAGCUGUUCGGUGCCG
rnacentral:rRNA from 1 species